GAUGAACGCUGGCGGCGUGCCUAAUACAUGCAAGUCGAGCGAACAGACGAGGAGCUUGCUCCUCUGACGUUAGCGGCGGACGGGUGAGUAACACGUGGAUAACCUACCUAUAAGACUGGGAUAACUUCGGGAAACCGGAGCUAAUACCGGAUAAUAUAUUGAACCGCAUGGUUCAAUAGUGAAAGACGGUUUUGCUGUCACUUAUAGAUGGAUCCGCGCCGCAUUAGCUAGUUGGUAAGGUAACGGCUUACCAAGGCAACGAUGCGUAGCCGACCUGAGAGGGUGAUCGGCCACCCUGGAACUGAGCCACGGUCCAGACUCCUACGGGAGGGCGCAGUAGGGAAUCUUACGCAAUGGGCGAAAGCCUGACGGAGCAACGCCGCGUGAGUGAUGAAGGUCUUCGGAUCGUAAAAAUCUGUUAUUAGGGAAGAACAAAUGUGUAAGUAACUAUGCACGUCUUGACGGUACCUAAUCAGAAAGCCACGGCUAACUACGUG
rnacentral:rRNA from 1 species